UGUGACCAUCCUCGACAUACAAGAGUGUCUCCAAACCCUAGCAUUCUAUUUGUAGUGAAGAGGAAUCACAAGGGAUGUCACCCACUCUUCCAACUGCUUUGCAAAAAGAUGGGAUACAAUUGUCCAAUUUCACCCCAUACCAUCCGCAAGGAGGAGAUCAACAAUUCUCAUGGAGUAAGUGACCUCAAAAAUAAUGAAGGUCGGCCAUCGACUCAAUGGCAGGUCACCAACCCAC
rnacentral:lncRNA from 1 species